AUUGAACUCUGGCGGCAGGCCUAACACAUGCAAGUCGAGCGAGCGGCGGGCGGGUGAGUAAUGUAUGGGGACUGCCCGUUAGAGGGGGAUACCUACUGGAAACGGUAGCUAAUCCCGCAUACUAUCGGAUAACCCAUAUGGGAUGAGCUAGUAGGUGAGGUAAUGGCCUACCUAGGCGACGAUCCCUAGCUGGUCUGAGAGGAUGAUCAGCCACACUGGGACUGAGACACGGCCCAGAGUCCUACGGAGGCAGCAGUGGGGAAUAUUGCACAAUGGGCGCAAGCCUGAUGCAGCCAUGCCGCGUGUAUGAAGAAGGCCCUAGGGUUGUAAAGUACUUUCAGUCGGGAGGCGUUACCGACAGAAGAAGCACCGGCUAACUCCGUGCCAGCAGCCGCGGUAAUUC
rnacentral:rRNA from 1 species